AGUGAACGCUGGCGGUGGGCCUAACACAUGCAAGUCGAACGGCAGCACAGUAAGAGCUUGCUGUUACGGGGGGCGAGUGGGGGGCGGGUGAGGAAUACAUCGGAAUCUACUUUUUCGUGUGGGUUAACGUAGGGAAACUUACGCUAAUACCGCAUACGACCUAGGGGUGAAAGCAUGGGAUCUUUGGACCUUGUGCGAUUGAAUGAGCCGAUGUCGGAUUAGCUAGUUGGCUGGGUUAAGGCCCACCAAGGCGACGAUCCGUAGCUGGUCUGAGAGGAUGAUCAGCCACACUGGAACUGAGACACGGUCCAGACUCCUACGGGACGCCCCAGUCGGGAAUAUUGGACAGUAGGGGCAAGUCUGAUCCAGCCAGACCACGUGUGUGAAGGAGACCUUCGGGUUGUAAAGCCGUCUUGUUGGGAAAGAAACGCAGCAGCUUAAUACGCCGCUGUUCUGACGGUACCCAAAGAAUAAGCACCGGCUAACUUCGUG
rnacentral:rRNA from 1 species